GAUGGGCCCGCGGCGCAUUAGCUAGUUGGUGGGGUAAAGGCUUACCAAGGCAAUGAUGCGUAGCCGAACUGAGAGGUUGAUCGGCCACAUUGGGACUGAGACACGGCCCAAACUCCUACGGGAGGCAGCAGUAGGGAAUCUUCCACAAUGGGCGAAAGCCUGAUGGAGCAACGCCGCGUGGGUGAAGAAGGUCUUCGGAUCGUAAAACCCUGUUGUUAGAGAAGAAAGUGCGUGAGAGUAACUGUUCACGUUUCGACGGUAUCUAACCAGAAAGCCACGGCUAACUACGUGCCAGCAGCCGCGGUAAUACGUAGGUGGCAAGCGUUAUCCGGAUUUAUUGGGCGUAAAGGGAACGCAGGCGGUCUUUUAAGUCUGAUGUGAAAGCCUUCGGCUUAACCGGAGUAGUGCAUUGGAAACUGGGAGACUUGAGUGCAGAAGAGGAGAGUGGAACUCCAUGUGUAGCGGUGAAAUGCGUAGAUAUAUGGAAGAACACCAGUGGCGAAAGCGGCUCUCUGGUCUGUAACUGACGCUGAGGUUCGAAAGCGUGGGUAGCAAACAGGAUUAGAUACCCUGGUAGUCCACGCCGUAAACGAUGAAUGCUAAGUGUUGGAGGGUUUCCGCCCUUCA
rnacentral:rRNA from 1 species